AGACAGUAAAGGGAGAGCAAGAAGAAAAGGGCAAGGAACAGAAGGAGUGGCCGAGGCGUGGGGGUGGGAGGGGGAAUACAGCAAGAGGGGCUUUUCUUUUUUAAUUCCUGGAGCUGUCGUGGCUUGAACUCGAUCGUGCAGAUCCGAGCUGGUGCAGGCGCUCUUUGCCCGGGAUCCCUACGUCUCCAGGAAAGAAGGGGAAGCGCCGAGCCGCACGCAUGCACGCACGCCCGAGCCCCACGGCGGAGCCCAGCACCGCGUCGUGUAGCCCACUUGCGGGGUAGCCGGGCUUGUGCGUUCGUGUGCGGACGCUCCCUCGCCGUCAUCGCCUGCACUGGGACUAGCAGAAGCUCCACUUCUGUCAGCAUCUGCGUCUCUGCUUUGCCAACCUCUGGAGCUCCAUCUGCCGCGCCUUCUCCCUGGCCUCCGAUGCCCCCUCCGACUGGAGAGGAGGUCCCGGCCGAUAAAGUCCCAAGGGGCGGAAACAGAAGAACGACUACUUAAGCAACCCCUGCUCUCCUAACCUCCCCGCCCCCCCAGCUUUCGAGUGUGGCAAUUAAUAAUUAUAUCUGCAAUAAAUUUCCAACUGUAAUGUCUGUAUUCUUGCUCCCUCCUUCCUCCCCCGGUCAAAACUUGUGUUUGCAUUCAUUCUAUCGUAUUUGAGUCAACGCACCGCACGCAUAUCUCUUGGGUCCGAGGCUGCAGAAUUGGGGGUGCUUCACUUUUCCUCUGUGGCGUCGUGGAAUUCUCUCCCAAUCCUUCUUCGUCUUCUGUCCCCUCCCACCACCUUUUCACUUUCUUCCUCUGUAAAAAUAAAUGCGGACGAUCCAAGUAGCGUAAGCCCAAAAUGCUUGUAAAGGCUACGCGAGGAAAAGGUUUUGUGGCUUUUGAUUUUUAUCUUGAAAUAUUUUGUGAUAGCCUAUUGCGUAUACCUGUUGACUAUGAACGAUCGCACAGGUGCUGGAAAGCCGAGGAGAAUCCAAAGGGGGAAGUAAAAGAAUAAAGCAAGGAAUAAACAUAUGCCUGCGGGGUUAUAGAUGCCCAGAUAACUGGUAGGAGACUCUAUUGAAGGGGAGUGUGGAGCUUUUCGCAUUUCAGGUUAGGAAAGACUGUCAAGAUUAGAAGAAAAGGAGGGGGAGUGGGAAGGGAAAUCCCUCUGCUACUGGGUGUCUAACAAGGAAUUUUGAAUGUUAGUAAAUAAAAACAAAUGCUGCUAAUUA
rnacentral:lncRNA from 1 species